rfam:Gossypium hirsutum cultivar TM-1 chromosome 8, whole genome shotgun sequence
UGUUAAAAGUUUAAUCUAUUUGUACUGUUAAAAACUGACAUGGUUGACAGAGUAUUUAGAUAGUAACACCUGGUAUGCCAUGUGCACAUCAUGCUAAUAUACAAAGAUAAAUUUUUAACAACAAAAUAGGAUGAAGACCAUUUUAAUU